UAAUUGAAGAGUUUGAUCAUGGCUCAGAUUGAACGCUGGCGGCAGGCCUAACACAUGCAAGUCGAGCGGCAGCACAAGGGAGUUUACUCCUGAGGUGGCGAGCGGCGGACGGGUGAGUAAUGCCUAGGGAUCUGCCCAGUCGAGGGGGAUAACAGUUGGAAACGACUGCUAAUACCGCAUACGC
rnacentral:rRNA from 1 species